CUGCCCUCAGCCGUCGCCGCGCGCCGCCGCCGCCGCCCUGCCCUCCGCUGCGCUCAGCCGUCGCCGCCGCCGCCCCGUCAGCCGUCGCCGCCGCCGCCCUGCCCUGCCCUCCGCUGCGCUUCAGAUCACCACACGGACCAACACUGUCGCCGCCGCACUACUCCUCCUGGUUCCUCCAUCAACAAACCCUAUCCAGAUCUGCCCCUAGCUGGAAUUCGCGUUGUUGCGCGGAGGGGAAAUAAAUGGCAGUUUUCUCUCGCAUGGAUCAACGCCCGGGUUGUCGACCCCAUGAUGCCCGUGGUCUGAGAAAACUGGUCUUCUCUGCCGCGCUCAGCCUCACCAUCAACAUCAUCCCGAUCUGUGGUAUGGGGGUGCUGUCGAUUGUGUCUCCAUACAGUGGCAUACCCAGAAUUUUUUUAGAGCCUGGGUACAAAGUCUCGUCUAGCGAGCAAGACAAAGAGAAGGACAGAUCGACUUGAAUCAAUUUCAUCUCUGUCUAGAUUCCUCAAUGUGAGCAGUCGUCAAGUAUAGGCUAUGGAACAAUUGUGGACCAAUUGUUGCUGCUAGGGAACAGCCGAACAGGUCCAAGUUCACCCAUUUAAAGUCACAGACAAGACUACUAUGUAAGUAGAGAGCUUGCUCGAGUCAGAACAUUAGCCAUAAAAGACCCAGUUAUAUAUGUCGCCAGGGACCGCAACCUAGAUAAGUGUGAAACCGCUGCAAAAAAACCUACACCAAUUACUAUCCUAGGAGCGGUCAAAAUGUUGCAGUAAGUUCUGUUCAGGUUUGUUCUAUACUGAAUUUAUUUUUCAGCAUAGAAAGUUUUGAAUUUUAAUUCUUUUUUCUUCCAACAGUAUAUUCAUGCAAUAUCACACCUUUCCUACUUCGGAUAAGAAGAGUCAGGUAAUUUGUAUGGUAGCAUUCUUGUUGCAUCGCUGAACUGCUGGUGAGAUUCUGUAUUAUAUACCAUGUGCUUGUAGUAUGGUCGCACCAUUGAUUCUGGCUUAAAGAUUCCUGGAAGGCUCUCUGGUUAUGUUUUUUUGUUGAGGUAAUCUUGUUUAAUGGUCACACAAAAGUGUGAGAGGUAAUUGUUCCAUAUGCUCAUAUUGUGAGAUGUAUUGUUCUUCUCAUGAUUUUCCAGCAAAUUUAAAAUUGAGGCUUAGUGCUCAAAAUAACAAGAUAUUUAUUUUAGCUUGUGAUAUUAUGUGUUCUCCGGAGAAUGGAAUUAGAACUGACAUCAGAUAGACUUGUUAAAUGUUUGUACCAAACAAAAGAUGGUAUGUAACUCUACAAACUAGCAGUUCAGCAUACAUGCUUUAUAAAUAUAUUCAUAUCUGUUGCAAAAAGGAGGAACACCAUUAAACCUUCUACUGUAGUAGUCCCAAACUUAGGAGAAGGUGACAAAUAGUUUUUUACCUCGCAGGUUCACAUGCUGGGAACUACGUUGGGUGUGUUUAUCAUCAACAUUGGUCUCGAGUCGGUUCACCCAUAUUCAGAACGAAUCAACUGAUAUUUUCUCUUGUGCCUAUUUUCUCUUGUGCCUCUUCUUAUGCUGGAAUCUAGAUCCAAAGACAGUGAUUGGCAAGGAGGAUGGAACGACCCUCGCUACCUUCACAUAUCAAAAUUUCCAAGUCAACACUCAGUUAUAUCAUUAUCCAGAAGAUUAGUGAGAUUUAAGCCAAGGGUGCCACCAUCU